AUUGAACGCUGGCGGCAGGCCUAACACAUGCAAGUCGAACGAGUGGCGGACGGGUGAGUAAUGUCUGGGAAACUGCCUGAUGGAGGGGGAUAACUACUGGAAACGGUAGCUAAUACCGCAUACCAUCGGAUGUGCCCAGAUGGGAUUAGCUAGUAGGUGGGGUAACGGCUCACCUAGGCGACGAUCCCUAGCUGGUCUGAGAGGAUGACCAGCCACACUGGAACUGAGACACGGUCCAGACUCCGACGGGAGGCAGCAGUGGGGAAUAUUGCACAAUGGGCGAAAGCCUGAUGCAGCCAUGCCGCGUGUAUGAAGAAGGCCUUCGGGUUGUAAAGUACUUUCAGCGGGGAGGCGUUACCCGCAGAAGAAGCACCGGCUAACUCCGUGCCAGCAGCCGCGGUAAUUC
rnacentral:rRNA from 1 species